GAGCGGCGAACGGGUGAGUAACACGUGAGCAACCUGCCCCUGACUCUGGGAUAAGCCCGGGAAACUGGGUCUAAUACCGGAUAUGACCUCCUCCGGCAUCGGAUGGUGGUGGAAAGUUUUUCGGUUGGGGAUGGGCUCGCGGCCUAUCAGCUUGUUGGUGGGGUAGUGGCCUACCAAGGCGACGACGGGUAGCCGGCCUGAGAGGGCGACCGGCCACACUGGGACUGAGACACGGCCCAGACUCCUACGGGAGGCAGCAGUGGGGAAUAUUGCGCAAUGGGCGGAAGCCUGACGCAGCGACGCCGCGUGGGGGAUGACGGCCUUCGGGUUGUAAACCUCUUUCAGCAGGGACGAAGUUGACGUGUACCUGCAGAAGAAGCGCCGGCUAACUACGUGCCAGCAGCCGCGGUAAUACGUAGGGCGCAAGCGUUGUCCGGAAUUAUUGGGCGUAAAGAGCUCGUAGGUGGCUGGUCGCGUCUGCCGUGAAAGCCCGCAGCUUAACUGCGGGUCUGCGGUGGAUACGGGCCGGCUAGAGGUAGGUAGGGGCAAGUGGAAUUCCU
rnacentral:rRNA from 1 species